rnacentral:lncRNA from 1 species
UUCGGUCGCGCCGAAGAAGGGAGGUGGGCGCUCAUUAGUGAGAGAAAGGGAGAGAGGGACACGGCGAUGUAGAAGGAAAGGUGAGAGAUAUUGGAGAGAUUGUAGAUGGCAUUAGACCGUUUAGAUGGAUUAAUUAAAAGUCUGGUGAAGGAGAAGGGAAGAGAAAUGAGAGGAAGCAACGUGAAAUGUGGAUUAUUAUUUAUCUGU